CCUACGGGGGGCUGCAGUCGAGAAUCAUUCACAAUGGGGGAAACCCUGAUGGUGCGACGCCGCGUGGGGGAAUGAAGGUCUUCGGAUUGUAAACCCCUGUCAUGUGGGAGCAAAUUAAAAAGAUAGUACCACAAGAGGAAGAGACGGCUAACUCUGUGCCAGCAGCCGCGGUAAUACAGAGGUCUCAAGCGUUGUUCGGAAUCACUGGGCGUAAGGCGUGCGUAGGCGGUUUCGUAAGUCGUGUGUGAAAGGCGCGGGCUCAACCCGCGGACUGCACAUGAUACUGCGAGACUAGAGUAAUGGAGGGGGAACCGGAAUUCUCGGUGUAGCAGUGAAAUGCGUAGAUAUCGAGAGGAACACUCGUGGCGAAGGCGGGUUCCUGGACAUUAACUGACGCUGAGGCACGAAGGCCAGGGGAGCGAAAGGGAUUAGAUACCCCAGUAGUC
rnacentral:rRNA from 1 species